rnacentral:rRNA from 1 species
AAUAACUCACAAUAUUCCGAGCGAGAAUAUGUAAGUGUUAUUACAAAUAUAACACCAAGAAACAUUACGUAUCUAAUAAAUAAUACAAGACGCUACUUAUCUAGCGAUGAGUUUUUAAGUAAGUGAUUUCAAGCGAAAUAUAUAUAAAAUGGGACUGUGUGACCCAGUAUAUAUUUUUGUCCGAAUUUGUGUAUGGACAAGGGUCUGCUGUUAUUAUUAAUAAUAGUAGACGGUAAACUCAUGGUAUAUAACAUAUAUAUUAUAUGUUUUUAUAAAAAGAUAAAAUAUAUAUAUUUUUUUCUUUUUUGAAACUGUUGUAUUAAAUAUACAUAAUAGCAGUUCCCUGGUUGAUCCUGCCAGUAGUCAUAUGCUUGUCUCAAAGAUUAAGCCAUGCAUGUCUAAGUACAAACUAUAUUAAAGUGAAACCGCGAAAGGCUCAUUAAAUCAGUUAUGGUUCCUUAGAUCGUACCACAAUUACUUGGAUAACUGUGGUAAUUCUAGAGCUAAUACAUGCAAACAGAGCUCUGACCGGAGACGGAAGGAGUGCUUUUAUUAUAUCAAAACCAAUCGGCGUCAGUAGCAUUUCGGUGUUAUUGUUCGUCGCUCAAUUAAUGGUGAAUCUGAAUAACUUUAUGCUGAUCGCAUGGUCUUGUACCGGCGACGCAUCUUUCAAAUGUCUGCCUUAUCAACUGUCGAUGGUAGGAUCUGCGCCUACCAUGGUUGUAACGGGUAACGGGGAAUCAGGGUUCGAUUCCGGAGAGGGAGCCUGAGAAACGGCUACCACAUCCAAGGAAGGCAGCAGGCGCGCAAAUUACCCACUCCCGGCACGGGGAGGUAGUGACGAAAAAUAACGAUACGGGACUCAUCCGAGGCCCCGUAAUCGGAAUGAAUACACUUUAAAUCCUUUAAUAAGGACCAAUUGGAGGGCAAGUCUGGUGCCAGCAGCCGCGGUAAUUCCAGCUCCAAUAGCGUAUAUUAAAGUUGUUGCGGUUAAAAAGCUCGUAGUUGAAUUUGUGUUCCGCACUGUCGGUUCACCGCCCGCGGUGCUAACUGGCAUGUUUGCGGAACGUCCUGCCGGUGGAUGUUCAGUAAGUGAUUUCGGUCAUUUACACAUCCGACUUAUAAAUCCUGUCGCGGUGCUCUUAAUUGAGUGUCGAGGCGGGCCGGCACGUUUACUUUGAACAAAUUAGAGUGCUCAAAGCAGGCUAACUAAUGCCUGAAUAAUUAGUGCAUGGAAUAAUGAAACAGGACCUUGGUUCUAUUUUGUUGGUUUUCGGAACCCCAAGGUAAUGAUUAAUAGGGACAGAUGGGGGCAUUCGUAUUGCGACGUUAGAGGUGAAAUUCUUGGAUCGUCGCAAGACGGACUAAAGCGAAAGCAUUUGCCAAAGAUGUUUUCAUUAAUCAAGAACGAAAGUCAGAGGUUCGAAGGCGAUCAGAUACCGCCCUAGUUCUGACCAUAAACGAUGCCAGCUAGCGAUCCGCCAAAGUUCCUCCGAUGACUUGGCGGGCAGCUUUCGGGAAACCAAAGCUUUUGGGUUCCGGGGGAAGUAUGGUUGCAAAGCUGAAACUUAAAGGAAUUGACGGAAGGGCACCACCAGGAGUGGAGCCUGCGGCUUAAUUUGACUCAACACGGGAAACCUCACCAGGCCCAGACACUGGAAGGAUUGACAGAUUGAGAGCUCUUUCUUGAUUCAGUGGGUGGUGGUGCAUGGCCGUUCUUAGUUGGUGGAGCGAUUUGUCUGGUUAAUUCCGAUAACGAACGAGACUCUAGCCUACUAAAUAGACGUUACACUUUCCAGUAUCUCGAAGGCUCACAUCUCUCGUUUCUCGUAUUGCACAUCACCUGCAUUUCGGUGUAUGGUUGUUGUGUGGUCGGGCGGGAGUUUGUGGUUUUUACUACUGGCGUACAUAUAAAUCUUCUUAGAGGGACAGGCGGCUUCUAGCCGCACGAGAUUGAGCAAUAACAGGUCUGUGAUGCCCUUAGAUGUUCUGGGCCGCACGCGCGCUACACUGAAGGAAUCAGCGUGUCUUCCCUGGCCGAAAGGUCCGGGUAACCCGCUGAACCUCCUUCGUGCUAGGGAUUGGGGCUUGCAAUUAUUCCCCAUGAACGAGGAAUUCCCAGUAAGCGCGAGUCAUAAGCUCGCGUUGAUUACGUCCCUGCCCUUUGUACACACCGCCCGUCGCUACUACCGAUUGAAUGAUUUAGUGAGGUCUUCGGACUGGUACGCGGUGAUGUUUCGACAUUACCGAUGUCGCUGGGAAGAUGACCAAACUUGAUUAUUUAGAGGAAGUAAAAGUCGUAACAAGGUUUCCGUAGGUGAACCUGCGGAAGGAUCAUUAACGUUAUAUAUAUAUUAUUAUAUAACAACAUUAAGAUCUGUGUCUUUUUUUAUUACAUAGACUAUAAAAAAUGUAAUAUUAACAUAUAUCAUCACUUUUACAUAUAUGUAUUACAAAAUAAUUUUGUUGGUAUUAUUUUAUUAGAAACUUUUUUGUCCCAUAUUGUUGGUAUAUUAUGGUUGUAUUUUUGGGCAAAUAGUUUCAAUAAAAUCCUGUGUUUUACAUAUAUUAUAUGUAAGUAUAGAGUGAUGUGAGUAUUAUUUAAAUAUAUCCAUGGUAUGGUGGUAUUAUAAAUUAUUGUGCCUUAGUACUACACUACACACAUAAACGUAAAUACACAGUAGUGUUGUUUUGUGUUGUAUUUGGAAAAGCACAUAAUUUUUGGAUAUAUUUAUUGUAUUA